rnacentral:rRNA from 1 species
GACGAACGCUGGCGGAGUGCCUAAUACAUGCAAGUCGAACGCAGUGGGGACGGGUGAGUAACACGUGGGUAACCUCCCAUCAGAGGGGAUAACACUUGGAAACAGGCGCUAAACCGAUCCUGAUGGUUGGCCCCGCGGUGCAUUAGCUAGUGGGUGGGGUAACGGCUCACCAAGGCCAGGAUGCAUGGCCGACCUGCGAGGUUGAUCAGCCACACUGGGACUGAGAAACGGCCCAGACUCCGACGGGAGGCAGCAGUAGGGAAUAUUCGGCAAUGGACGAAAGUCUGACCGAGCAACGCCGCGUGAGUGAAGACGGUUUUCGGUUCGUAAAGUUCUGUUGUUAGAGAAGCGGUAUCUAACCAGAAAGCCACGGCUAACUACGUGCCAGCAGCCGCGGUAAUAC